GUGGGGAAUCUUGCGCAAUGGGCGAAAGCCUGACGCAGCCAUGCCGCGUGAAUGAUGAAGGUCUUAGGAUUGUAAAAUUCUUUCACCGGGGAAGAUAAUGACGGUACCCGGAGAAGAAGCCCCGGCUAACUUCGUGCCAGCAGCCGCGGUAAUACGAAGGGGGCUAGCGUUGCUCGGAAUUACUGGGCGUAAAGUGCGCGUAGGCGGACAGCUUAGUCAGAGGUGAAAGCCCAGGGCUCAACCUUGGAAUUGCCUUUGAUACUGGCUGUCUUGAGUUUGGGAGAGGUGAGUGGAACUCCGAGUGUAGAGGUGAAAUUCGUAGAUAUUCGGAAGAACACCAGUGGCGAAGGCGACUCACUGGCCCAAUACUGACGCUGAGGCGCGAAAGCGUGGGGAGCAAACAGGAUUAGAAACCCGUGUAGUCC
rnacentral:rRNA from 1 species